rnacentral:rRNA from 1 species
AUGGCACCUAAUAGGGCCCUAGGGCCUGACAACAUAUCUGUAGAGUUUUACCAAGUUUGUUGGGAGAUUGUGAAACAGGACAUUAUGUCCUUGUUUACCCACUUCCAUAGAGGGACGUUAGAUGUGCAGCGCUUAAACUAUGGGAUCAUCACGCUCCUACCUAAAAUGUCUGGAGCUAAUAAAAUUCAGCAGUUUAGGCCAAUAUGCCUAUGGCGAUGA